rnacentral:rRNA from 1 species
UACGAGGGGUGCAAGCGUUGCUCGGAAUUACUGGGCGUAAAGGGUGCGUAGGCGGUUCGUUAAGUCUGUCGUGAAAUCCCCGGGCUCAACCUGGGAAUGGCGAUGGAUACUGGCGAGCUAGAGUGUGUCAGAGGAUGGUGGAAUUCCCGGUGUAGCGGUGAAAUGCGUAGAGAUCGGGAGGAACACCAGUGGCGAAGGCGGCUAUCUGGGCUGGCACUGACGCUGAGGCGCGAAGGCUAGGGGAGCAAACAGG